rnacentral:misc_RNA from 1 species
UAAAGGUAGGAGGCGACGACACGUGCAACACGCAGGCCAACGAGUGAGCUCUCUCCCUCUUCCUUUCGCUGUCUCUCCCCAGCCCUCCCAUUGAUACAGACGUGCAGAAGGGCGGAGCCGUCAGAGUUGGCGGGCGCGGGGCAGUGAGGGUUGCAUCCAUGGGCAGCACACCUACAGAGCCACGAGGACGCCUGAAGAAACGAGAAAAUGUGGGCGACACUCGCGCGUUACAAGGCCAAGUCGCUUGCGCAGAUGUUUCGAAAAUUGAAGCUCGCCGGUGCGCACCCCGACGUGCUGUGGGGCAUCGAUGCGCAAAAAGCGCAGCACAACGGUGAGGAGAUGAUUCGGCUGGAGACCCUCAUGCACGAGCGGGCAAGCCAGGCGCUGGGAUCCUUGUCCUCCUCCUCCAACGGCCGCGGUCGCGACAACGCGCCGCAGUUCUUUCUCUUCUGGAUGCAGCCCUAUCGCGGGUCAGCCGCGGCCGGUGGUGGCGGCGGUGGCGAAGCGGCCUCGGCGGCAGCUGCGGGGCUGAAGGCGAUCGAGUGCACUAUCACGCCCUACUCCGACAGCCGCAUUGUGAAGCAGCAACUGACGAAGCUGUUCGUCGAUGCCGGCAUCUACGAAGACUUCGAGCUUAGCAGUGAUGGGGUGGAGAUGAACCUCAAGUCGGUGCUCCGCUACGCCGAUGAGAAACAAAACGAACACCUCGUCCAGUCUGGCUCUCUCUACAUCCGCGGUGACAAGUCAGUGGAAAAUCUGCGCCGCUUCAGCGUCCUACUGGUGGUGGAAGAAGACGGGGUGAGCUACCUCGUAUCACUGCCGGAGACGCAGUCGGUGCAGCCCACCGGGGCGGGCCAGUACACGAGCACCGUCGGCGGUGGUGGCGGCGGCAGCACGGCGCCGUACGUACCUUCCAAGACGAUCAUCGGUCCCAACGGGGAGGUAGAUCCAGAUGUGCAGGACUUCAUGACGGAGCGGGGCCUGCGCCCCUUCGACCUGCGCAUGGCUGGCAGCCACUCGUCCGUCGAGCGCUUCGUCGUCGCCUUCGAGCGAAUCGAACGCAUGUACGAGGUGCAUCGCGGUCGCGCGUUCCGUCCGUCCGUGUGCAUCGUCCUUAGCCUCAAGUCCCUCGACAACUUCGUUGCACCGGAUGGGUCGAUUGUACUGUCGGUGCAGCGCAUGCCCUCGUGGGAGGAGUUCUUGCUCAGUCUGCCGCAGCCCGUCUGGCAGGAGUGUGUGCAGAAGCAUAAGGAGUGGCGCGUCGGCUGUGCGCCGAAGCUGCAAGAGCGCAAGCGCCAGCUCACACGCGUGGCGGACAUGUUCCACGUGCACCGGGUAACGAUGGAGUCCCCGAUCGCUGGCAGCACGCAGUGGCAGGACGACCUGAUCGCCCGGUUCAUGAAGGAAGAGACAACCAUACGCCGCGCUGUCGCCAAGUACAGCCUCAAGUCCGACUUGCUCAAGAAGCGCGGUGAGAUACGCAUUGUGGAGCACCUCUACAGUGCCCUGCCGGACUCAACAAUGCCGACGACUACCGCUGCCGGGGGGCGGAAGGAGAUCGGCUUCCGCAUCGGCGGCGACGGUCGAGUCACAUUCAACCACUCUAUCAUGAACACAGGGCAGAUGCUCCGCGUGCUCAAGGACAACCUCAAGCGCAUGGAAACCUUCCAGCGCCAGCACGACAGCGCGAUCAUGGCGCUCGAGCACGUCAGUCGCCAUAUCCCGGUGGACUUCAGCGUCGACACGGAGUGGAAGAACCGGGCGGAAGGAAAUCUCGUGCUGCACCUGGAGCGCUUCGCGCGCACCAUCAAGCAAAACGAAGCGCAGCUCGGCGCCUUUCUGCGCUCCAUCAUGGAUGGCGGGGUGCGGACGUCGAGUGCGGACAAGGUCGUGGUGCCGGCCAACAUGCCGGUGAAGAGGCGAAUGGUGUGGGUUGUGUCGGACCGCUUUGACACGCUGCCCAGCGGCGUCGUCUUUAUCCCGUUCGAUGUCGACUUCGACUCUAUUAAGCGCCUUCUGCUCACCCGUCAGUGAGCGCAUCGUGUGUAGAUGGGUGGGGGGGGGGGGGGGCGUGGCUGCGUCGAUGGGAAAGCCGAAGAGCUUGACGGCAGCGAAUGAUCGCUGGAGCCAUGGGCGACACUGGCAGUGGUAGUGAUGCGCCUCACCGCUGCAGUUGCCGUUGCCUGUGACUAGCUGAUUCACGCGAAGGAGUGUGUGCAGGCGUGCGUGCCGGAGAGAAAGGAUGGUCUGUGGAUGGAAAGUGAGGCGUCGCACGUUUUGUGUGGUGUUGAUGUAGACAGGCGGAGUUGUGUGCCAUUGGGCAGACGUUGGUGAUCAUCUGCCCCCGACCCUUCUGUCACCCUUGCUCGCUCUGCGUUGGAGUCAUCCUUUGCGGUAUUCACAGGAAUACUAAAUUCAAGCAUCAGUAGUACUCCGUAGAGGAAGUCCCUCUCCCCUUGCUUUCUCGUGGCGGUAGUGGCCGACAGGUAUCGCAUCCCUCUGCGGGCAUGAGCACACGCACAUGGCUGCAUGGGAUGUACUUCCUCCUGUAAUCGUUGACCUCUUUCGUCUUCGACACACACACACGCACACAAACUCCCUCCCCAUCCACUCCGCCCUUUUCCCAUCACCAUCCUUCCCUCGUUCUCUACACAUUUGACAUUAUUGAGGUGUACGUGUGUGUGUGUGUGUGUGUGUGUGUGUGUGUGUGCGUGCGUGAUCUUGUAUGUCGCCUGAGCUGCUGCUGGCGUUCUUGUUUCACAGUCGCAGCCGCAUGGCUACCACCACUCUGCCUUCCCUCCCCCUCCCCCUCCUUUUGUUUACUCGAAGAGGGAGGACGCACCCACACGGCACGCGAGGCAGCCACCACCAAGCGCGUUCGCUGCUCGCCACCGUUUUUCCCCCCUUCCCUUCGCAUACGCACACGUACACGCACUCUUGGCGCCCUCACGGGUGCCGUGCUUGUCUCCCUGUGAAUGCGUGUCUGAGUCUCCGUGUGUACGUGCCACCGUGCGAAAGCGCCCCCUGUCACGCGCUCGUGAGCCAUACGAGCAACACGACAUGGAAACAUGAAAGCGACUUCUUCGUCCCUCUUUGUGUAUCUUCUUUGUUUGUCACCAACGCGUACGCGUCUCCCUCAUCGCCUCCUCCCCAUCUUCACGCACGCCUCCACCAACGAGCGCGUGGCAAGCGGGGAGCCACUGUCGCUCACUACAGCACUGCAAUAAGCCAAAGAAGGAAGAGCAUGAGUGAUCGUCGUACACGAUGCAGGGCAGCAUGAGACAGACAGAGUCCGCGUGGGGGAGGGGGGUAUGCGCAUGUGUACGUGGGCGUGGGCCUGGGCAAGCACACUCAUAUACAUCCAUACGCACCCUCCGUUGCUGAGUCUCUCUCUUUGCACGGACGAAACG